rnacentral:rRNA from 1 species
GUCAGCAGCCAUACCAUCUGAAGGUUAGACUAGGCAAUCCACCUGAAUCUAAGCAGGCUUGAGCCAGGCCUGUGCUUGGAUGGAAGACCAACUGGGAAAGCUGGGAUGCUGCUGGAA